rnacentral:rRNA from 1 species
GGACCAUCAUGUCGGUCGUGCCUCGGUACGUACUGGUAUUGUUGGUUUCUCCCUUCUGACGAACCAUGAUGUCAUUUAUUUGGUGUUGUGGGGAAUCAGGACUGUUACUUUGAAAAAAUUAGAGUGUUUAAAGCAGGCUCACGCUUGAAUACAUUAGCAUGGAAUAAUGAAAUAGGACGUUUGAUUCUAUUUUGUUGGUUUUAAGGACCAGUGUC